rnacentral:rRNA from 1 species
GAUGAACGCUGGCGGCGUGCCUAAUACAUGCAAGUCGAGCGAACGGACGAGAAGCUUGCUUCUCUGAUGUUAGCGGCGGACGGGUGAGUAACACGUGGAUAACCUACCUAUAAGACUGGGAUAACUUCGGGAAACCGGAGCUAAUACCGGAUAAUAUUUUGAACCGCAUGGUUCAAAAGUGAAAGACGGUCUUGCUGUCACUUAUAGAUGGAUCCGCGCUGCAUUAGCUAGUUGGUAAGGUAACGGCUUACCAAGGCAACGAUGCAUAGCCGACCUGAGAGGGAUAGGCCCCACACGAAAUGUGACACGGGGCCGACCCUCAUGGGGGGGCGAAGUAGGGGAACUUUCGCAAAGGGGGAAAACCCGAGAGGGCGAAGCCGCGGGAGAGAGAUAAGGUUUUUGGGCGUAAAAAUCUCUUUUUUUGGGAAAAAACAUGUGUAAAUAAAAGUGCGCACAUUGGGGGGGUCCAUAAAGAGAACCCCGCGGAAAAACGC